CCCCUGCGCUGGUACCGGGCGCAGCCUGCAGGCUCCAGGCAGCAUCCGGGGCCUUGGUUCUUGCCGGGAGAAACCGUCCGCAGACCUCAGUGCCAGGAACAUCCUGGACACCCUGUUCCCCAGCUUCCACUUCAUCCUACGUGUAGCAGAGAAGAAAGAGCUGUAUGGGGAGGAAGGACAGUAAAUAUUCGAGGGAUAGAAAAGGAGGUACAAAAAAGAUGGCAUGCUGUGCAGACAUUUACUGCAGACCGAAUGGACAGGAGGCGAGUAGGAGCUUGGCGCAUCUGUGGAACAGAAGGAAAAGCAGCACGGCUGAGUGCGGUCCUCCAGCGGGCAGCGAUGGCGUCUGAGGUCAGAGGACCCCGGUGGUGCGGAGGGAGUAGCUGGCGGUGGUGGAGAAGCAGCGCUGGGGAGCGAGAAGACAGGGGAAGUGCGAAAUGGUUAUUCUGAAGACGAGGAAGGAGAGAGAAGGAUCCUGGAGGCAAACCUGAUCACCCCACCGGGGCUUCCCCUCGCCCUUACGCUCGGCAUCCUCCGUCCGGUCCCCGGGGCCGAGCCUCCUCCGCUCCCCGCCUAGAACCAGACCGGAACCAGGGUGAGGCUCGUAGAAGCUGACGCGCAGGAGCGACGAUCGCCCCUCCCUGCAAAAUGCGAUGAAGCGCAAAGACAGCAGCAAACCACACGACAAAUGCAAAUUCUGGUUUUUCACACAGUGACCACUUCGAUGCUUUAAAAAGAAACGAUCGCAAAUAUAAUUCUUAAAAAAAAGAAAAAUGUUUUCUCUGGGAUGGCCUUGUGUUGCCGGCACCUGCAUCACUUCCCCGCGAAGCCUCCCUCAGCUCCUUGCCCGUGGACGGGCGCCCGGUUCCGAGGGCUGGCAGCACCGGCCACAUGGUGAUUAAAUAACGAUACAGUCCUCUGUUUCCCGUCAGCAUCUCGUGGCGCUUGUGCCUGGGGAGGACAGAAAUGGCCUAUCUCGCUUACUCUGUCCCCAGCGCCCAGCACAACCAGGCAGUGACGAAAGCCCACCCGUAGGUGCUGUUGCAACUGAACCGCCCGGGGCACAUGCCCCGAGCCGAGGGACCUUGUCUCACAUAGCACGCGCUCACCAAACAUCUGACACAGAAAUGAGUGCGCCAGCGCCUCCCCCUUGGCUCACACGGCGAGUCGUGCAGAACCGUGAGAAAGGAAUGACAUAAUCCUGUGUGUGCUUUCAGUUGACUCCAAGCGAAAAUCUUAAUCUCCCCAGAAUUUAAUAGUUUUCGAGUCUCGGUAGGCAUAUGAAAUUCGGGGAAGCCACGCGCUUUGAGUUUUCACCACAGUUCAAAUCACUGUGCUCCGCGUAAGAUGGAAUUUGUAUUUCUUGAUCAGUAUGUGGCCUCAGGCUCUCAAAAGAAAAACACAGUGUUUCACACUGAAGACACCAUAACUCCACAUCUGAGCGGAACUGUUCCUCUCCUCUCCGGAGGAAGUCUUUGAAAAGAAGUCAUUGAAAUUAGUGACCUCGCAGAUAAACAAAGCUACCCUAGACUUAACCCUCAUUACCGGGCGCAUGAGGCGUGCACCCCCUGUUGUCUGGGAAGCCUCCCAGGACGUGACUGUCCUUCCAGCUGCGAGUCCCCCCAGGCGCAGGCCCUUCUCCAGCUGCAAAACCGUGUCCUCUGCCGACCCACUCCAGCGUCGAGACACGGCCUCCGGGACAUGUUGAAGGAGUAAAUUACCGGGGACUUCAGCGCGCUCUUUAACCACCACUUGCUUGCGAGAGGCUGACAGUUGUGAGCUGGUGCACUUCCGAGUGACCUUGUCAGAUGUUCCGGCAUGACAGCGGAGGAAGAUCUA